GUGCGCAAUAAAAUGCGCCCAUGGGCCCC
rnacentral:sRNA from 1 species